GCUCGAGUGGCGAACGGGUGAGUAACACGUGAGUAACCUGCCCUUGACUUUGGGAUAACUUCAGGAAACUGGGGCUAAUACCGGAUAGGAGCUCCUGCUGCAUGGUGGGGGUUGGAAAGUUUCGGCGGUUGGGGAUGGACUCGCGGCUUAUCAGCUUGUUGGUGGGGUAGUGGCUUACCAAGGCUUUGACGGGUGCCGGCCUGAGAGGGUGACCGGCCACAUUGGGACUGAGAUACGGCCCAG
rnacentral:rRNA from 1 species